rnacentral:misc_RNA from 1 species
AUUUGAAGACCGAAGCUGUGUUUUGAUACAUUAGAAGACCGAAGCUGUGUUUUGGUGCAUUAGAAGACUGGAACUGUGACUGCUUACAGUACACAAUGCUACAGACAAUGACACUGAAAGGAAAACUGAGGAUAUUUGCGAUACUACCUUUUGCAGGAGUCGUUUUAAUGACAGCAUCCUUUGUAAGUCCAGGAUGGGUCAAUUUUAAUGUAAAUUUCAUUGAAUACCGAUUUCUGCCAAUCCCCCCAUACGAAGGCCCAUACGAAGGCUACGGAUCGGCUAAUAGCGCACAUUUGACGGGAGGUUUGUGGUAUUACACCGUAUGUGUCAGAGAUUUCAUACCCAACAGCGACGGGUUCUAUGAUAUCUUCCCGAAGACCGGGACAAGAUGUCACACAGGCUUAAACUCUAUGACUUUGAAGAGCGGUUAUACCAUGGUCAAAAAGGACACUUGAUGCCAGGAGUCCAAAUCAUGUGUUCGAUUGCAAUGUUUUGUGCAAUAAAUGGCUUCAUUGGGACUAUUGUCUACACAAGAAGAGAAGAAAAAUACAGAUGGACUGGACUAACGGCUUUCAUAAAUCUAUCCAUUGCAGGUGGAACCUAUCUUGCAGCGAUAGUGAAUACAGCUACAGCAACCCCAAAUUCUCCAGAAGUGUACUACAUGGACACAAAGAUUUAUAAUGUCCAAUAUUAUUGUGCAUGGGGUCUCUUUUUGGGAGGAUUUGGGUGUGUCUUAGUUCUUGUCUCCGCUCUUGGGCACCUGUAUAUUCUGUUCAGAAACUUACAUGCAACAAAAAAUGACGUAAACGAUUACCAGACGUUCAAAGUAGCAAACCAAGGAACCAUAUUACAAUUCCCCUACACAAGCAUGGUACCACCAAGAUGCAACAAAACGUUUGCGUUCAAUGCACCUUUUUUCAACAGUCUUCAAGAUGCAGCUACAUGUCCAAAAGAAAAAAAAAUGACCAAGUAGUAUUUUGGUCAUGUUUUGUUGAAGAAAAGAUUUGAACGGUCAUAUAAUCUCUCAAUUGCUAUGUUAAAAUAGAUUUUAAAUGUAAAUACAUUUGCCUGCUUUGUCAUGUAUAUGUAUCAGUCACUUUAUCCUUUUGCAGCUUGCGUUUUGUUACAAACAUUGUAUGACAUUAUGGUUAUGUAAGAAAUUAAUAAUAAACUUGAGUCCAAAGGU